UACGGAGGGGGCUAGCGUUGUUCGGAAUUACUGGGCGUAAAGCGCGUGUAGGCGGUUGUUCAAGUCAGGUGUGAAAGCCUUGAGCUCAACUCAAGAAAUGCACUUGAUACUGGAUGACUAGAGGACCGGAGAGGAUAGUGGAAUUCCCAGUGUAGUGGUGAAAUACGUAGAGAUUGGGAAGAACACCAGUGGCGAAGGCGGCUAUCUGGACGGUUUCUGACGCUAAGACGCGAAAGCGUGGGGAGCAAACAGG
rnacentral:rRNA from 1 species